GAGGAACCAUGAAUGAGAUAUCAGCAAUGAGGUACCUUCUCACCAGGCAAUGACAACACAUGGGACAACACCCAAACUCCAAUAAACAUCGGAAUAGGGAGGUACAUUCACUGAACUCCACCCUCUAUAAAAAAAAAUCAAGCAAGGGAAAAGAAAAACACACCUUUGAGAAACUGAAAAUUUCAACUGCAAAUUCAAG